GCCAAUUGUUGAUUGUUGUAACAGUUGUAUACCCCUUUGAAUUAAAAUCUCGUUUAGGCACGUGGCACACGUCCAGUUGUCGUACGUUUGCGAUCCGCGACCAACCGCAACGUUGCGUCCAAUUGCGUCCUCUCUAAGUGGGACAAUGGGCCUACCAAUAAUGUAAUGCAAUAUGCAAUACGCAACACGUAUGUAAACCCAUCCGUCCAUCGGGAUUGCGACAGGAUCCUCUCCAAUGAGCGGCACGUUUUAGGGGAUGGAAGCCAUUAAAAAGCCAUUUUGGAGGCAAGACGUAAAAAGACAGUUUAAUGUGGGAGAUCAAAGGUCGGUCACGUUGGUUCAGAGCGGAGCGUGGAACAACAGGAAGGAAUAAAUUCGAUGAUUGCUUUAAAAAAUUGCUGCGACGCUGUUUACGAUUAAGUUUGUUUUGUCGUCGCUGUCGCUGAUCGAACGAACGUUAAUGAUGUCACUACUGUAUCAUUCAUAAACUGUUGGUGUGUACUAGACACGAUUAAUUAUCGUUAUCUUCGCACAAACUCCUUGUAAGACAUUCAUUUUUUACUAUAAAUAAACACGCACUAGUGUAAUCUUUGGA